rnacentral:tRNA from 1 species
GUUCAGAGUGGCUCAGUCAGUAGAGCAUGAUAUUCUUAAUUCUCAGGGUUGUGGGUUCAGUCCCCACGUUGGGCA